AGCUCAUGGGACCUUAGAUCCAGAGCCCUUGAAUAGAGAGUCGCGUCUUCUCCAUUCACUCUAAUGGGCCAUUUUUUUCACAGCAAUGGCGGUUCGCGGAGCCUCUCAAUAGUUCCCGGAAGUAAGCGGCACAUGCUAGCAGCGCAAUGGAGUUACAGCAGAAGAGACCGGCUGUGAUGUACUUUUAACGGGAGCACUGGGUGGUGGCGGAGCAGUGAUGCUGCAGGACCACUGUGUGAGAGAGGACGCUGCAGAUAAGUGCUGAGUCGACCUUGGUGAGACUUAAAACUUAACAAGCACAAGAACAACAGGGGGAUGCAAUGGAGCCUGAACUCACCCCGCAAUGAAACAACCCCCUUACCCUGAGUCUCAACUCUGUGGGUUUUGCAAGCCUUUCCCUGUUCCUUAUUUUUAAUAAACCAAACACUGAGCUUCCCAA